rnacentral:misc_RNA from 1 species
CCCCGUAGACAGCAGCUCCACACCGCGUGCGGAAAGUGCCUGGGCGAAUUCGAUGAUACCGGCCUUGUCAGAAACACUGAGCAGAGCGCGGCGGACUGGACGACGUUGUUGCAUGGUAAAUCCCCUGGAUUUGACGAUUACAGAGAGCGUUAGCUGAAUUUUUCGUGAAAAACUCAGCUAACGCCCCUUAUGGGGCAUUCUCAUUUUGCGGCGACAUUGUAACGAAAACGUUUGCGCAACGCUCGCGAAUUUUUCUUUUUAAAUUCUGGCCCCGCUUUUAUCCCUGAAAGAUCGUUUGCAGAGUGAAAAGAUCCAGGAAAUGAACGCGCGUUUUGUGGAUAAGUCUGUGCGUAAAUGGGUAUAACCAAGGGUUUUGCUGGGGAAUGCAGCAAACAGUCAUUUUUCUGCAAUUUUUCUAUUGCGGUCAGCAGAGAACUCCCUAUAAUGCGCCUCCAUCG